rnacentral:rRNA from 1 species
CCCUUAGAUGCUCUGGGCCGCACGCGCGCUACACUGGUCGAUGCAACGAGUUUCUUUCCUUGGCCGACAGGCCUGGGCAAUCUUUGAACAUCGAUCGUGAUCGGGAUAGAUUCUUGUAAUUUUUGAUCUUAAACGAGGAAUUCCUAGUAAACGCAAGUCAUCAGCUUGCAUUGAUUACGUCCCUGCCCUUUAUACACACCGCCCGUCGCACCUACCGAUUGAAUGGUCCGGUGAAAUCUCCGGACUGGCGUGAGUCGGAGCAAUCUGACAAACGCCGGAAAGUUGAUUAAACCUUACCAUUUAGAGGAAGGUGAAGUCGUAACA